CACACACACACACACACACACACACACACACACACACACACACACACACACACACACAAACAAACCUUCUCAGUCUCAAGUCCCAUUUAAAUGAGCUCUCGUCAGUGACACUGGAGGAUUUGCAAUGACAGAUUUGAUUUGCAAAGUUGUGAGCUUAGGCAAGCAUGUUGACUGAGGAUGUUCGUGUGUAGUCUCUAUUAAUAGUCAAAUCUCCUAACCUUUAUGCCUCCUUUCCGUAACCUUUGUGGAAAACGUCAUCGGGUCAAGGAGAGAUGAAAAGGUGCUUCCUUUCGAACAUAGGAAAAGACAGCACUGCACACAGGCAUUACUUCAUUGCAUAAGUCUUUACAUGCAAAAUGGUUGAAGAAAUGUGUGAAGUGUUAGAUCAACCAACGAUCAACCAGUUUACUGAAAUAGCUCAAAGGUGCAUCUCGUGAACCAUGAACUGGCAAGUAUAUAUAUAUAGCUGGAGCACAACACAAUUUUACAUUGUCUGACAAUGGAAGGACAAGGAAUUGGAUGGGUCAACAGCCAGAGAGAAGAAGAAGAGGAAGAGGAGUGAGGCUGCCUGAGAAUGAGAAUUUGUGGCCCAACAGAAAGGAACGUCAGGAGGUGUAGGAAGACUGCACUGUAAUUCCUACAGCAAUGCAUGUACAGUUUACCCUAAGGAGAUUGUCCUAUGAUCACAUUUCUAGCAAUGACAUGGUCUGUCAACAAAUUACAGAACAGACAGUCAAGGCGUUAAUGUGAAUCUUGACUCUAGGCAAUCAAUCUCCCACAUACACUAAGGUGUAACUUAAAAUGUACACUAAUUGUCUUCAAAACUUUCGCCAUAGGUUACAUCAGAACAUCCCUCCAGUACACUGUUAUAUUGACAACAUGACUAAGCAAUUUGACUGUCUUAUCCAUACACAAUGACACAAGGACUUGUCAUUCUGAUGGCACUGAAAUGUUCAUUGACACAGAGAUGAACUAAGGAUUUUGAGCAAGAGACUGGCUUUUGCAGGUAAUCCAUGGUGUUUUGCUAUUUGUACAAAUUGUUUUGAGAAAUGCAUUUACUUUUUUGCAAAUGUUGAGGAUGAUUUGAGAAAUGUACCAAAGCAACUGAGGAAAAGUGUAAUAACCAGC
ensembl:lncRNA